AUUGAACGCUGGCGGCAGGCCUAACACAUGCAAGUCGAGCGGAUGAAGGGAGCUUGCUCCUGGAUUCAGCGGCGGACGGGUGAGUAAUGCCUAGGAAUCUGCCUGGUAGUGGGGGAUAACGUCCGGAAACGGGCGCUAAUACCGCAUACGUCCUGAGGGAGAAAGUGGGGGAUCUUCGGACCUCACGCUAUCAGAUGAGCCUAGGUCGGAUUAGCUAGUUGGUGGGGUAAAGGCCUACCAAGGCGACGAUCCGUAACUGGUCUGAGAGGAUGAUCAGUAACACUGGAACUGAGACACGGUGAAGACUCCUACGGGAGGAAGCAGUGGGGAAUAUUGGACAAUGGGAGAAAGAAUGAUCCAGCAAAGCCGAGUGUGUGAAGAAGGUCUUAGGAUUGUAAAGCACUUUAAGUUGGGAGGAAGGGAAGUAAGUUAAUAACUUGCUGUUUUGACGUUACCAACAGAAUAAGCACCGGCUAACUUCGUG
rnacentral:rRNA from 1 species